rnacentral:lncRNA from 1 species
UCUGUACUCUGAAGAUAAUUUGAUUCAGACAGAAGGUUUUUGGGUGCUUGCUGAAAUUUUGGAGAUCUGGGAAAAUGGGGUAAUAACAUGACACCAGCUUUUAAGCAGCAACAUCUGCUGUGGUUCAAAGCCACACAAAGAAAGCUGCUUAAGCAGUUGAAUGUUUUGGACUGCACGGACAAGUGUGGUUCAACAGCAACGACUGCAGAGCAGAGGAAAUUUAAAGUCUCGAGAAGUUGUUAAAAAAUGGAGUCCCGGAAGAUGAGUAUUUUCAAGAGACAAACAUCACCUUGUCCUCCAAGCUAUGGAAGAUCUUUGUCAGAACCUGCUUAUGCACAUUCAGAGCCUGGAACAAGCUUAAAGAGUUAUCCAUGGUGUGGUCCAGUGAAAAGCAAGAGGAAGAAAAAUGAACAGGCUGUUUCCAAUCUAGGAAAGCCACUGGGUGCUUAUCGGUGGCAGACACAUCCCAGCUUUAGGUGGAAAGGGGGCAAAAGGGAACAAUUGCAAAAUAAUAAAGGAGGCCUGGAUGAACCACAACAAGAGGUCCUGCCACAGAUGGUUGGGAAUAACGUUUCUUCCUCUGCUAACGAGGUCCAUGGAACAUCAGUGGCGACGGAGAACCUGGUCAACACCCGGUCACUUCGGGUUCCAUUCAGCAGAUCUAUGUCAGAACCAGAACCCCGCGGCAGUGUCAGAUUUGGUAGACGGUGGCUGACUUCGGUGGGGUCAGUGGAGUCUGAGCAGCAGGGGUAUUUCAUCCGUGGUAUUUUCUCUACUCUUUCCAAUGGCUUCUCCAGGAUGCUGAGUCUAAAAGGAGAAUCAACCAGUGAAUCAGUAAGAGAAGGUGUGGCAGAUUAAGUUCCCUGCUAGGGGUCAAAUUGGAGCUGCAGCUGCUGGCCUACACCAUAGCCACAACAAUGCCGGAAUAUGAGCUGCAUCUGUGACCUACACCAUAGCCCACAGCAACACAGGAUCCUUAACCCACCAAGUGAGGCCAGGGAUCGAACCCAUAUCUUCAUGGAUGCUAGUCAGGUUCAUAACCUGCUGAGCCACAGUGGGAACUCCUUAUUCUCAUUUUAAAGUAAGGAAGUAAAGGCUCAGAAAGGUUCAGUUAUUUCCUUUAGACUAUACAACUAGUAAGUGUUGGGUCCGGGUCUCCUUGACUCUAAGCUCCUGUUCUUACCCCUCCAUUUCGUGGCCCUCUUUGAGCAUGUAACAUUUGAGAGGUUUUUAAGAAUGUGGGAAUAACUGUCCAGUGAACAUUGAGAUAUAAUGGGGCAGGAGUUCAAAAGUAGACUAGGUCCCAUAUGAAGAUACAGACAUGGAUGUUGAAGUCACAGGAAAAGAUGAAAUCGUUCAGUGGAGCAUGUAGUGUGAGGGUAACAAGAACAUCAAGAUUGGCAUUCUGACUUCGGCACGUCCACCCAUCCAGACCAAUCAGAGUCUGUUCGCAGAGCCACUCAGCUUUUAUGAUUAUAGACUAGGAGUCACUCAUCGUGGUAGCAAAUUUAAUAUUCUUGUGCACACAUACACCUUAUUUUUAUUUAACAACUUUAUUGAGAUGUAAUUCACAUACCAUACAAAUUACUCAUUUAAUAUUACAACUGAUUUGGUUUUUUUGAAUUGUAGUGACAUGUACAUGCCAUAAAGUUUGCCAUUUAAACAUUUUAAAGUGUGGAGAACUGUAGAAUUAAAUACAUUCAUACUGUUGGGCAACCAUCAUCACCAAUCAUCUCAGAGUAUUUCGUCUUUCCAGACCUAAAGUGUAUCCAUUAAACAAUACCUCCCCAUCUUUCUCUCCCCUAGCCCCUGGUAAUCACCAUCCUUUCUGUCUUGUUGAAUUUGACUUCUCUGGGUAUUUCAUAUAAUAUUUGCCUUUUUGUGCAAUCUAGUUUUUAAUAUUUUCACAGAGUUGUGCAACCAUACUGCAAUAAAUUUUGUAACACCAAAAAGAAACUCUCCCUACUAGCAGUUACUUCCCAGUGUGCCCCUGUGACUGCUCCCCUCACCAUAGGUAACCGCUAAUGUGCUCUCUGUCUAUACAUUUGCCUUUAGAUUUCCUAUACAGGAAUCAUUCAAUAUACGGCCUUUUUAUUUAGCAUGUUUUUAAGGUUCAUCCAUGUUGUAGCAUCCGUCAGCACUUAAUUUCUUUUUAUGAUCAAAUAAUAUUCUCUUGUAUGAAUUUAUCACAUUUACGUAUUCACCAGUUGAUGGACGUUGAAUUGUUGAAUUAGGCUGCUCUGAACAUUCAUGAAAAGUUUUUAUGUGGACAUGUUUUCAUUUCUCUUGGGUAUUUACCCUUAUAUUUUGUAAAGACAUAUCCUGCAUCCAAAAUAAUGCCUUGGUGUUUUGAGACCUUAAGUCACAUUUAGUUUUCCAUUUUUUAUUUAAAAAGUAGUAACAGUUUUGCUAUUUUGUGUCUUAUGUUUGUAUAUUCAUUCAAUAAAUUUUUGAAUAAGGUAUUUAUAAGAUUUUAGACAUAACAAGAUACUUUCAGUAAUUAUCAGUUUCCUAUACCUGUGAUGUAAACAUAAGCAUAAAUAUGUUUUUGGUUUAGUGUGAUCUAGAGUCUGCUACUGGUAGAUUGAUUGUAAUGAACACUGUGAUUUAUCGUCAUUGCCAGGAUGACUGUCAUAUUUUUAUAUGCCUCAGGCAGUUUCCAGUCCAUUUCUCACACUCAAGGCCAGUAUAUUUCUGUGAGGAAGCAAAGAGAGGAGUAAGAUGAGUAAUGACUCUGAAUCUGUGAUUAUGAAACCCUAUCCAUAUGAGUUUACAGGUUCGUAGUGACUGAGCUUUAGUCAGUAAACCACAGGCAUUUUUCCUGUCCUUCUCAUGUGAAUUUUCUCAUUGAGAUAUUCUUAGAUUCUUUUUCUUUUCAUUUUUAAUAUCUGGAUUUGAUGAUGAUUUUUUUAUUCCUUUGCCUUUACAAAACAGAAAUCUGGUAUUGUGUCCAUGUUUUUAGAUAUUAUCACCAAAAUGUCACAAUAGUUUGAAGCUUAAGGGAUACCAAUUCAAUUAUAACUUAGUACAAUAUAUAUCCAUAACUGUGGUAAAAAUAAAGGGUAUUUUGAAUGC